GACGAACGCUGGCGGCGUGCCUAAUACAUGCAAGUCGAACGCAGUUGCGAACGGGUGCGUAACGCGUAGGUAACUACCUAUUAGAGGGGGAUAACUAAUGGCAACGAUAGCUAAAACCGCAUACUAGUAGAUGGACCUGCGUUGCAUUUGCUUGUAGGUGGGGUAAUGGCCUCCCUAGGCAACGAUAGGUAGCCGACCUGCGAGGGUGCUCGGCCACACUGGGACUGAGGCACGGCCCAGACUCCUUCGGGAGGCAGCAGUAGGGAAUCUUCUGCAAUGGAGGAAACCCUGACCGAGCAACGCCGCGUGAGUGAUGAAGGUUUUCGGAUCGUAAAGCUCUGUUGUUCAGGAAGCGGUACUUAACCAGAAAGGGACGGCUAACUACGUGCCAGCAGCCGCGGUAAUAC
rnacentral:rRNA from 1 species